GACGGAGGGUGCUAGCGUUGUUCGGAAUCACUGGGCGUAAAGGGCGCGCAGGCGGCCGCCCGCGUCGGACGUGAAAGCCCGGGGCUCAACCCCGGAACGGCGUCCGAUACGGGGCGGCUCGAGGCCGGGGGAGGGGGGUGGAAUACCCAGUGUAGAGGUGAAAUUCGUAGAUAUUGGGUGGAACACCGGUGGCGAAAGCGGCCCCCUGGCCCGGCCCUGACGCUGAGGCGCGAAAGCGUGGGGAGCAAACAGG
rnacentral:rRNA from 1 species